UCUACUGACAUUCCUGACUCCAUGUUCAUGACAGUCUCCCAUGUGUCCAUCUUGUCAUCUUAUAAAGACCCUACUUAUAUUGGAUUAGAGCUUACAGUAUUCCAACAUGACCUCCUUUUGCUUGACUGAUUAAAUCUGAAGAGAUCCUGUGGUCAGACACAGUAACAUUCACUGGAGGGGGUUUAAUGGAGGUAUAUCAUCCUGUUUAGGGAUGACUGUUCCAAAAUCUCUCACUCUCUGCAUAACGACGAACAAUAAAGUGGAUCCCUUCUCAUUCCACAUUAUCCAUGGAGUUUCAUCAGGAUGAAAUGCAGCUUUGGUGAGAAAUGAGCUGAGAGACAACUGCUCCUGUUUCAUUGGAAGAUUGUUAAAGAAACAACAUUGGAAUCUGGAUGCUUGCCUUCGAUUCUAGCACAUUUUAGUUGCAUGAUAUUAACAAAUUAUCUUUUGGGAUAUAUAUGUAUAUAUAUAUUUGCAAACUGUGAGUCUAUCAGUGUCAGUGUUCUAAGAUGGUGUAUGAGAAGAACUUGAGUCAUACUGAUUAGUACAUAAAAUGUAACCAAUAAGUAUGGAUUUCUGUAUUUGUUCAUAAUAAAAAAUUGAAACUUUA